rnacentral:rRNA from 1 species
CCUACGGGUGGCAGCAGUGGGGGAUAUUGCACAAUGGGGGAAACCCUGAUGCAGCGACGCCGCGUGGGUGAAGAAGCGCCUCGGCGCGUAAAGCCCUGUCAGCAGGGAAGAAAAUGACGGUACCUGAAGAAGAAGCCCCGGCUAACUACGUGCCAGCAGCCGCGGGAAUACGGAGGGGGCAAGCGUUAUCCGGAUUUACUGGGUGUAAAGGGGGCGCAGACGGCGUUGCAAGCCAGGAGUGAAAGCCCGGGGCCCAAGCCCGGGACUGCUCUUGGAACUGCGUGGAUAGAGUGCAGGAGGGGCAGGCGGAAGUCCUGGUGUAGCGGUGAAAUGCGUAGAUAUCAGGAGGAACACCGGUGGCGAAGGCAGCCUGCUGGACUGCAACUGACGUUGAGGCCCGAAAGCGUGGGGAGCAAACAGGAUUAGAUACCCCUGUAGUC